rnacentral:rRNA from 1 species
UACGUAGGGUGCGAGCGUUGUCCGGAAUUAUUGGGCGUAAAGAGCUCGUAGGCGGUCUGUCGCGUCGGCUGUGAAAACUUGGGGCUUAACCCUGAGCUUGCGGUCGAUACGGGCAUGACUGGAGUUCGGCAGGGGAGACUGGAAUUCCUGGUGUAGCGGUGAAAUGCGCAGAUAUCAGGAGGAACACCGGUGGCGAAGGCGGGUCGCUGGGCCGAUACUGACGCUGAGGAGCGAAAGCGUGGGGAGCGAACAGG